rnacentral:ncRNA from 1 species
UCGGUUCCGGUUCACGCUUCGCGCCAAAUCCACGCGGGCGACCCGGCGACC